AUUGAACGCUAGCGGCAUGCUUUACACAUGCAAGUCGAACGAGUGGCGGACGGGUGUGUAAUAUAUCUGAACGUGCCCAGUAUCGGGGGAUAACUAAUCGAAAGAGUAGCUAAAACCGCAUACUAUUGGCGCGGCCGCUAUCGGAUUAGCUAGUUGGUGGGGUAAAGGCUCACAAAGACAACGAUCCCUAGCUGGUUUGAGAGGAGGAGCAGCCACACUGGGACUGAUACACGGGCCAGACUCCUACGGGAGGCAGCAGUGGGGAAUUUUGGACAAUGGGGGAAACCCUGAUGCAGCCAUGCCGCGUGUGUGAGAAGGCCUUCGGGUUGUAAAGUACUUUUGGCAGGGAAGCGGUAUCUGCAGAAGAAGCACCGGCUAACUACGUGCCAGCAGCCGCGGUAAUUC
rnacentral:rRNA from 1 species